CAAACCUCAACCUCUUUCCCAGCUUAUGGAGUAUCUUCCAUGUGAGAACACUGUCAUAAACACCAGGUAUACAGUGGCAAACAAAGUGACUUAGUUACAGCUUUCGGGGAGCAUAGAGUCUAGUAGAGAAACAGUAAACAACUAAGCAAAUACGUAAAUAGAUAUGUUAUAAAACAUCAUGCAGAAAAGGCCAGUACAGAUCUUCUUCGACUUAUGAUGGGGUUAUGUCCCAAUAAACCCAUCGUAAGUUGAAAAUAUUGUAAGUGAAAAUGCACUUAAUACACCUCACCUCCCAAACAUCAUAGCUCAGCCUCGCCUACCUUAAACAUGCUCAGAACACUUACAUUCAGCCCCUGAGCCGGCUUCUGCCGCGGCGGUGCGAUGACCACGCUCCGGGCCUCCACGUGCGAUGACCUGUUCCGCUUCAACAAUAUUAACUUGGAUCCACUUACAGAAACUUACGGGAUUCCUUUUUACCUCCAGUACCUUGCCCACUGGCCAGAGUACUUCAUUGUUGCAGAGGCACCUGGUGGAGAGUUAAUGGGUUAUAUCAUGGGUAAAGCGGAAGGCUCAGUAGCUAGGGAAGAAUGGCACGGGCAUGUCACAGCUCUCUCUCUUGCUCCGGCAUUUCGACGCCUUGGUUUGGCUGCUAAACUUAUGGAGUUAUCAGAGGAGAUUUCAGAAAGAAAGGGUGGAUUUUUUGUCGAUCUCUUUGUAAGAGUAUCUGACCAAGUCGCAGUCAACAUGUAUAAGCAGUUGGGCUACAGUGUGUACAGGACGGUCAUAGAGUACUACUCGGCCAGCAACGGGGAGCCCGACGAGGACGCCUAUGAUAUGAGGAAAGCAUUUUCCAGAGACACUGAGAAGAAAUCCGUCAUACCAUUACCUCAUCCUGUGAGGCCUGAAGACAUUGAAUAACCAUGGGCAGUGGUUCUUAGGCUGAUGCUCCAGAUAUUUUAUGGACAAUAUUAUUUUCAUUGGAUGAUCUUGGAGCUCUAUUAGGAGAAAAGUAAUCAUUUAGGUCUCACAGACUUCAAGAAAAUACAGGUUAUAAACUUGAGGCUCAUUGUUUCCAGUUAGCAAUAUCAUACCUACUAAAGCUGUUCACUGUAAUAAAAUUCAAUCAAAAAGGCAGCUGGGUCAGAUGGAAACAUUCCACUGAUUUGGUUCAUAAUAUUUACUAUAUGCUAGGGAAAAAACUUGCUCUAGUCUCCUCCUAAAUUCUGUGCCUGAGAACCACUGCUACAUAUAUAUUUUUUAUUUUGUAUCAAACUGUUAAUUGAAGCUUUAAAAGCAUAUAUGAAAUGUAUGAAUCUAAGAUGUAUAAUAAAAUGCACUGUAGACCCUAAAAAAAAAAAAGAACACUUA